ACUAAGCGUACACGGUGGAUGCCCUGGCAGUCAGAGGCGAUGAAGGACGUGCUAAUCUGCGAUAAGCGUCGGUAAGGUGAUAUGAACCGUUAUAACCGGCGAUUUCCGAAUGGGGAAACCCAGUGUGUUUCGACACACUAUCAUUAACUGAAUCCAUAGGUUAAUGAGGCGAACCGGGGGAACUGAAACAUCUAAGUACCCCGAGGAAAAGAAAUCAACCGAGAUUCCCCCAGUAGCGGCGAGCGAACGGGGAGGAGCCCAGAGCCUGAAUCAGUGUGUGUGUUAGUGGAAGCGUCUGGAAAGGCGCGCGAUACAGGGUGACAGCCCCGUACACAAAAAUGCACAUGCUGUGAGCUCGAUGAGUAGGGCGGGACACGUGGUAUCCUGUCUGAAUAUGGGGGGACCAUCCUCCAAGGCUAAAUACUCCUGACUGACCGAUAGUGAACCAGUACCGUGAGGGAAAGGCGAAAAGAACCCCGGCGAGGGGAGUGAAAAAGAACCUGAAACCGUGUACGUACAAGCAGUGGGAGCACGCUUCGGCGUGUGACUGCGUACCUUUUGUAUAAUGGGUCAGCGACUUAUAUUCUGUAGCAAGGUUAACCGAAUAGGGGAGCCGAAGGGAAACCGAGUCUUAACUGGGCGUUAAGUUGCAGGGUAUAGACCCGAAACCCGGUGAUCUAGCCAUGGGCAGGUUGAAGGUUGGGUAACACUAACUGGAGGACCGAACCGACUAAUGUUGAAAAAUUAGCGGAUGACUUGUGGCUGGGGGUGAAAGGCCAAUCAAACCGGGAGAUAGCUGGUUCUCCCCGAAAGCUAUUUAGGUAGCGCCUCGUGAAUUCAUCUCCGGGGGUAGAGCACUGUUUCGGCAAGGGGGUCAUCCCGACUUACCAACCCGAUGCAAACUGCGAAUACCGGAGAAUGUUAUCACGGGAGACACACGGCGGGUGCUAACGUCCGUCGUGAAGAGGGAAACAACCCAGACCGCCAGCUAAGGUCCCAAAGUCAUGGUUAAGUGGGAAACGAUGUGGGAAGGCCCAGACAGCCAGGAUGUUGGCUUAGAAGCAGCCAUCAUUUAAAGAAAGCGUAAUAGCUCACUGGUCGAGUCGGCCUGCGCGGAAGAUGUAACGGGGCUAAACCAUGCACCGAAGCUGCGGCAGCGACGCUUAUGCGUUGUUGGGUAGGGGAGCGUUCUGUAAGCCUGUGAAGGUGUGCUGUGAGGCAUGCUGGAGGUAUCAGAAGUGCGAAUGCUGACAUAAGUAACGAUAAAGCGGGUGAAAAGCCCGCUCGCCGGAAGACCAAGGGUUCCUGUCCAACGUUAAUCGGGGCAGGGUGAGUCGACCCCUAAGGCGAGGCCGAAAGGCGUAGUCGAUGGGAAACAGGUUAAUAUUCCUGUACUUGGUGUUACUGCGAAGGGGGGACGGAGAAGGCUAUGUUGGCCGGGCGACGGUUGUCCCGGUUUAAGCGUGUAGGCUGGUUUUCCAGGCAAAUCCGGAAAAUCAAGGCUGAGGCGUGAUGACGAGGCACUACGGUGCUGAAGCAACAAAUGCCCUGCUUCCAGGAAAAGCCUCUAAGCAUCAGGUAACAUCAAAUCGUACCCCAAACCGACACAGGUGGUCAGGUAGAGAAUACCAAGGCGCUUGAGAGAACUCGGGUGAAGGAACUAGGCAAAAUGGUGCCGUAACUUCGGGAGAAGGCACGCUGAUAUGUAGGUGAGGUCCCUCGCGGAUGGAGCUGAAAUCAGUCGAAGAUACCAGCUGGCUGCAACUGUUUAUUAAAAACACAGCACUGUGCAAACACGAAAGUGGACGUAUACGGUGUGACGCCUGCCCGGUGCCGGAAGGUUAAUUGAUGGGGUCAGCGCAAGCGAAGCUCUUGAUCGAAGCCCCGGUAAACGGCGGCCGUAACUAUAACGGUCCUAAGGUAGCGAAAUUCCUUGUCGGGUAAGUUCCGACCUGCACGAAUGGCGUAAUGAUGGCCAGGCUGUCUCCACCCGAGACUCAGUGAAAUUGAACUCGCUGUGAAGAUGCAGUGUACCCGCGGCAAGACGGAAAGACCCCGUGAACCUUUACUAUAGCUUGACACUGAACAUUGAGCCUUGAUGUGUAGGAUAGGUGGGAGGCUUGGAAGUGUGGACGCCAGUCUGCAUGGAGCCGACCUUGAAAUACCACCCUUUAAUGUUUGAUGUUCUAACGUUGACCCGUAAUCCGGGUUGCGGACAGUGUCUGGUGGGUAGUUUGACUGGGGCGGUCUCCUCCUAAAGAGUAACGGAGGAGCACGAAGGUUGGCUAAUCCUGGUCGGACAUCAGGAGGUUAGUGCAAUGGCAUAAGCCAGCUUGACUGCGAGCGUGACGGCGCGAGCAGGUGCGAAAGCAGGUCAUAGUGAUCCGGUGGUUCUGAAUGGAAGGGCCAUCGCUCAACGGAUAAAAGGUACUCCGGGGAUAACAGGCUGAUACCGCCCAAGAGUUCAUAUCGACGGCGGUGUUUGGCACCUCGAUGUCGGCUCAUCACAUCCUGGGGCUGAAGUAGGUCCCAAGGGUAUGGCUGUUCGCCAUUUAAAGUGGUACGCGAGCUGGGUUUAGAACGUCGUGAGACAGUUCGGUCCCUAUCUGCCGUGGGCGCUGGAGAACUGAGGGGGGCUGCUCCUAGUACGAGAGGACCGGAGUGGACGCAUCACUGGUGUUCGGGUUGUCAUGCCAAUGGCACUGCCCGGUAGCUAAAUGCGGAAGAGAUAAGUGCUGAAAGCAUCUAAGCACGAAACUUGCCCCGAGAUGAGUUCUCCCUGACCCUUUAAGGGUCCUGAAGGAACGUUGAAGACGACGACGUUGAUAGGCCGGGUGUGUAAGCGCAGCGAUGCGUUGAGCUAACCGGUACUAAUGAACCGUGAGGCUUAACC
rnacentral:rRNA from 1 species